CAGCGUUUUCAAGGAAGUAAACGCAACAAAGAGAGAUGACGGUUAUCUUUGUGAGACAAGAUCAGCCUCACAGAGUGCAAACUUUUUUAGGAGUUUAGACAAGCGUUAGUGUCUUCGUAUUUGCCUGUAGUCUCCGCCAGAAGACCGCUUUUUUUUUUUCUUAGAAAACCGAUGCCACGGGUUAAAACGGAAAGUCUUGGGUUUUAAAACCGAAACCUCUGUACGCACCGCAAAGAACCAAUCGGCAUCGUCGCUUCGCAACAUGCACGCGCACGGACGCACGCGCUUCGACCGAGCCGGGGCCCACGCAUUCCGUGCCGCAUUAUCCCUGCUGGUGUUCGAACGCCACUUCAGAGCUGUGUCCACUGUGUCCGCCAUCGAGGAUCAUUAAUAUCUUGGCACCUUUUCUCAAGGCUGUUCGAGGUGGGCUUAACACUGAGUGCACACCUGAAACCUCCUGCCAGCUGCUAAGUCCACGCAGGAUGAUGACAGUGCUGGGCAAUACGGUGGAUCAUCUCAACGAUGCCAUGAGAGCCGACAAAGGCGUGCUUUUUUCCAGGCUCCAAGGCAUCCUAUCCCAACUUCCACCAUCAAUCCGGGGCCGUAUCGGUGCAAGAACUGAAACCAUACGGUUGGGGGCGAGACAUUUUCCCAGUAAGAUUGUUGUCGGUCCAGACAACAGAGUUUACACAUCCACACGACCUCUCGCAUCUACCAGAAACUGUGGAGCAAAGAGCCACAGUGCGGCUGACAAAAAACACCUCAACAUGACUGAUGGACCCAUUGAGCUCUGUAAUGUCACGGGGACCAUCUCAAAGUUGUUAAAGCUUUAUGGUUUUGUCGAUUUGGUACAUCCACUUCGAGCUAGUGUUUCUUUUGACAAGAGAUUAUUCAUGGAAAAUAGGCACCAUGACCUAACAAAGUUGGUGUUCAAGCUAGGCAAUGUAGUCAUAUUUGAUGCAGUAAAAUGUCCACCAAGCCACAGAGCUAAGUAUCAGGCCACUCAUAUAGAACUUCAAAGAAAAAUGGCACAUACGAGCAGCCCCGCAACGAAGCAGGCAGCGUACCAACCAGGUAGUGAUGGCAUCGGAAGUGGACUUCCUGGCUCAAUCCAAGCCGUAAAUCCAAGCCAUGCAUAUAUAUUAUUCGGUGAAGACAAUAGCAUUGACAAGUCCUUGCUUCAGCCGGAAAAGACUUUGAAUGACAUAUUUAGCGUCCAGACAAGGUUCUCUUUGAUACCCAACCAAAUCCGAAGCCGACUAGCUACGCCAAGUGGUGGGCCACCAAUGUGAACAAAGCGCAUAGUGCUCAACUUUCCCAAGCCAACGACAGCAGAGACGAAGCUUUUCUAUUGAUAACAUUGACAAGUCCCUGCUUCAGCCGGAAAAGACUUUGAAUGACAUAUUUAGCAUCCAGACAAGGUUCUCUUUGAUACCCAACCAAAUCCGAAGCCGACUAGCUACGCCAAGUGGUGGGCCACCAAUGUGAACAAAGCGCAUAGUGCUCAACUUUCCCAAGCCAACGACAGCAGAGACGAAGCUUUUCUAUUGAUAACAUUGACAAGUCCCUGCUUCAGCCGGAAAAGAGUUUCAAUGAUAUAUUUAGCGUCCAGACAAGGUUCUCUUUGAUGCCCAACCAAAUCCGAAGCCGACUAGCUACGCCAAGUGGUGGACCACCAAUGUCAACAAAGCGCAUAGUGCUCAACAUUCCCAAGCCAACGACAGUAGAGACGAAGCUUUUCUAUUGAUAACAUUGACAAGUCCCUGCUUCAGCCGGAAAAGAGUUUCAAUGACAUAUUUAGCAUCCAGACAAGGUUCUCUUUGAUGCCCAACCAAAUCCGAAGCCGACUAGCUACGCCAAGUGGUCGGCCACCAAUGUUAACAAAGCACAUAGUGCUCAACUUUCCCAAGCCAACGACAGCAGAGACGAAGCUUUUCUAUCCGACAACAAUAUCGCUGAGCUUCUCCUUCACCCAAAGGAGUUCUCUGCACGAAGGAAACAGUCAAUCCAAGCCACACAUUUAUAUUAUUCGGUGAAGACAUUAUAGAGUGUUCCUACUUUUCUAUUGAUAACAUUGACAAGUCCCUGCUUCAGCCAGUAAAGAGUUUCAAUGACUUAUUUAGCGUCGGGGACAAUGUUCUAUUUGAUGCCCAACCAAAUCCUAAGCCAACUAGCUACGCAAGUGGUUGGCCACCAAAGUCAACAAAGUGCAAAGUGCUCAUCUUUCCCAGGCCAACGUCAGCGGAAACGAAGCUUUUCUCUCCGACAACGAUAUCGCUGAGCUUCUGCUUGACCCUAAGGAGUUCUCUGCACGAAGGAAACUGUCAAUCCAAGCCACACAUUUAUAUUAUUCAGUGAAGACAAUAUAGAAUGUUCCUACUUUUCUAUUGAUAACAUUGACAAGUCCCUGCUUCAGCCGGAAAAGAGUUUGAAUGACAUAUUUAGCGUCCAGACAAGGUUCUCUUUGAUGCCCAACCAAAUCCGAAGCCGACUAGCUAUGCCAAGUAGUGGACCACCAAUGUCAACAAAGCGCAAAGUGCUCAACUUUCCCACACCAGCGACAGCGGAGGCGAAGCUUUUCUAUCCGAUAACGAUAUCGCUGAGCUUCUGCUUGAUCCAAAGGAGUUCUCUGCACGAAAGAAACUGUCCGGCAUCAAAGGCUCAUUCUUCCUAAAGUCCACGAUUAGGGGUAUUGUAUCCACUGUUGAACCCAUUGUCAUGGUCCCAGUUCCAGACACAGUGACGUAUUGCAACAGAAGGAAGAUCAGGACAUUCAGUGAGCUGUUGAAAGGCAGUGCUGUCCUAGAAGAUUUAGAUGCCUUUACAGAUGCCAACGAAGCAAAACACGACAUAUGGUUAGCGACGCUCAUGUGGAGUGGUGAACUUCCCGAGCACUUCCGGCGGAGACGAAGCUUUUCUAUCCCCAACCCAACCAGAAAUCACCUCAUAGCCCCUACACAAUUCUCUCCGCAAUGCCGCUUCCGCGCAGAGCCCCGGUCCAUCAGGCACAUUUUAGGGGGUUGCAGACCGGCACCAUUAAAUCCUCCGAACCCUUACACCACUGACAAGCUUAGUGAGAGCCUUGGCCAGCUCCGACCUCGAGAAUCGGCAGCGGCUGAUUGCGAGGGCCCAUGACGCGGCCUGAGCUCAAGGCAUUCUGGAAUGAGGACGCCUCUCCAAAGCUGCAUUCACCCAUUAAAAAUGUUCAUUCUCUCUCUCUUUUUAUCCAACAACGACAUCGCUGAGCUUCUGCUUGACCCAAAGGAGUUCUCUGCACGAAGGAAACUGUCCGGUAUCAAAGGCUCAUUCUUCCCAAACUCCAAGAUUACGGGUCUUGUAUCCACUGUUCAACCCAAUGUCAUGGUCCUAGUUCCAGACACAGUGACGUAUUGCAGCAGAAGAAAGAUCAGGACAUUCAGCGAGUGGUUGCAAGACAGCGCCGUCCUAGAAGAUUUAGAUGCCUUUAUAGACGCCAUCGAAGCAGAACAGGACAUAUUGUUAGUGACGCUAAUGUGGUAUGGUUAACGUCCCGAGCACGUCCCUGCACUACGCAUUCUCAGAGAAAAUGACAUCAUUCGGAUUGACUAGAUUGUCGGUAUGGUUGGAGGGAAGGUGGAGGUGUGCAGCCGCCGUGUGCAGCCGCCGUGUGCAGCACGGUGAAAGGCCUUCAAAUGCGCACCAAAUGAGUCCCUCAGAGUUUGGCCUGCUGCUGAAGGCCAGGGCGGCGCAGCAAGACAUCCCUGCAGCACCUGGCAAGCUCUGCACACUAGCUCUCACGGCAGUGGACAAGGAGGGCCAAGCAGUGCUCCAAGCUGCAACUUUCCCGACGUCCAGAAAUCGGGAACUAACAGUCUGCCUCCAGAACCCGGUUAAUCCAAAUGGCCAUCGGCAGAUUCGCUUGGAAAGAUACUGGCUGUCAAGCAAGAUGUAACCGUCCCGUCACUACCUUCGGGUCCUGCCACCAGCAAUGCUACCAUAAAUGGGAAAUCCACUGCAGCUGCCUCCGCCCCCCUGGAACCUACAGUCUGCAUCUUCUCGACCGGAAAGGAGUAAUGCAAGUCCUUGACUGUUCUGCCAUGGUGGAAGCCAGAUAGGGGCAGACUAUCUGGGAGGUGACGGUCACUGUGGACAGCUUCUACAGGGAUGGCAGGAUGGUCUUGAGUGAACUCAACCCGGAUUCGUGCGAAAUAGUUCGAUGUAGUCAAAUUCAAAUAAAAAAUCAUGUAAAAAACGCUGU